GGAGCGCGCAGUUCUAGUUAGACGUCAGUCUUGGUGUAGCAGUCGUCAGUGUUAUUUGGCUGAGUGGUAGCGGAAGCAUAAUGGAGUGCCCAUGCUGUCAACAGUUUCCUGACGAGAUAGAGAUGUUGUACCGAUUUUACACCACAGUGCAAUACAACCAAACUGCACUACCAUAAGGACAUCUCAUUUCUGUCUGCCUGUCGGCUCAGACUGGGACACUCGUGCAUAUGGACGUCUGUAUUAAAUCCAGAAGCACCAGAAUUUGUAAG